rnacentral:piRNA from 1 species
UGCAAAGAGCUACAGGCUAGAUGGGA